UGGCUCAGUGGUUAAGAGCACUGGCUGCUCUUCCAGAAAUCCUGAGUUCAAUUCUCAG
rnacentral:tRNA from 1 species